rnacentral:rRNA from 1 species
UACGUAGGGGGCAAGCGUUGUCCGGAAUCAUUGGGCGUAAAGCGCGCGUAGGCGGCCCGGUAAGUCCGCUGUGAAAGUCCAGGGCUCAACCCUGGAAUGCCGGUGGAAACUGUCGAGCUUGAGUCCGGAAGAGGCGAGUGGAAUUCCUGGUGUAGCGGUGAAAUGCGCAGAUAUCAGGAGGAACACCAAUGGCGAAGGCAGCUCGCUGGGACGGUACUGACGCUGAGGUGCGAAAGCGUGGGGAGCAAACA